rnacentral:rRNA from 1 species
AUUGAACGCUGGCGGCAUGCCUUACACAUGCAAGUCGAACGGCAGCACGGGAGCAAUCCUGGUGGCGAGUGGCGAACGGGUGAGUAAUAUAUCGGAACGUGCCCGGUCGUGGGGAUAACGUAGCGAAAGCUACGCUAAUACCGCAUACGAUCUACGGAUGAAAGCGGGGGAUCGCAAGACCUCGCGCGAUUGGAGCGGCCGAUAUCAGAUUAGGUAGUUGGUGAGGUAAAGGCUCACCAAGCCGACGAUCUGUAGCUGGUCUGAGAGGACGACCAGCCACACUGGGACUGAGACACGGCCAGACUCCUACGGGAGGCAGCAGUGGGGAAUUUUGGACAAUGGGCGCAAGCCUGAUCCAGCAAUGCCGCGUGCAGGAUGAAGGCCU